rnacentral:rRNA from 1 species
GCCAGCCCGCUCAGAAACUUAAUGAAUUGACGGGGCCGCACAAGCGGAGGAGCAUGUGGUUUAAUUCGAUGAUACGCGAGGAACCUUACCUGGGCUCGAACGUAAGAUGACUGUAGGUGAAAGCUUACAUCUCUUCGGAGCAUUUUACGAGGUGCUGCAUGGUUGUCGUCAGCUCGUGCCGUGAGGUGUCGGGUUAAGUCCCAUAACGAGCGCAACCCCUACCUUUAGUUGCCAUCAGGUUAAGCUGGGGACUCUAAAGGAACUGCCUACGCAAGUAGUGAGGAAGGCGGGGAUGACGUCAAAUCAGCACGGCCCUUACGUCCAGGGCUACACACGUGCUACAAUGGCCGAUACAGAGGGCAGCUACCUGGUGACAGGAUGCAAAUCUCCAAAGUCGGUCUCAGUUCGGAUCGGAGUCUGCAACCCGACUCCGUGAAGUUGGAUUCGCUAGUAAUCGCGCAUCAGCCAUGGCGCGGUGAAUACGUUCCCGGGCCUU